GGAUGGGAUCAUACCGGCACUAAUGCACCGGAUCCCAUAAGAAAUCCGCAGAUAAGCGUGUUUGGCUGAGAGUAGUACUAGGAUUGUUGACCUCCAGGGAAGUCCUAGUGUUGCAUCCC
rfam:Capsella rubella cultivar Monte Gargano unplaced genomic scaffold scaffold_5, whole genome shotgun sequence.